GACAGCUCAGUCGGUAGAGCAUGAGAUUCAUAAUUUCAGGGUUGUGGGUUUGAGCCCCACAUUAGGCCA
rnacentral:tRNA from 1 species